GCGGAUGAUGACUGCUCUAGACACCGAGAGGGGCCGAAGAAGCAAACCGGGGGAAUGCAUCGUUCCUCUGCGGAAACUGACAGGCAAAAGGAAGGCAGUCGGACGAAUCUUUGGAGAGAAUGCAUUAGCAUCGCCUACGUGGCAAGAACCAACUGGCAAAAGGACAGAGAG
ncrna:unclassified sequences glycine-GGAnGA riboswitch